rnacentral:rRNA from 1 species
UACGUAGGGCGCAAGCGUUAUCCGGAAUUAUUGGGCGUAAAGAGCUCGUAGGCGGUUUGUCGCGUCUGCUGUGAAAAUCCGGGGCUCAACCCCGGACUUGCAGUGGGUACGGGCAGACUAGAGUGUGGUAGGGGAGACUGGAAUUCCUGGUGUAGCGGUGAAAUGCGCAGAUAUCAGGAGGAACACCGAUGGCGAAGGCAGGUCUCUGGGCCAUUACUGACGCUGAGAAGCGAAAGCAUGGGGAGCGAACAGG